UACGGAGGGUGCAAGCGUUGUCCGGAUUUAUUGGGUUUAAAGGGUGCGUAGGCGGUCGUUUAAGUCUGGGGUGAAAGCCCGUUGCUCAACAACGGAACUGCCCUGGAAACUGGAUGACUUGAGUACAGACGAGGGUGGCGGAAUGGAUGGUGUAGCGGUGAAAUGCAUAGAUACCAUCCAGAACCCCCGAUUGCGAAGCAGCUGCCUGGACCUGUAACUGACGCUGAGGCACGAAAGCGUGGGGAGCGAACAGG
rnacentral:rRNA from 1 species